UACAGAGGGGGCAAGCGUUGUUCGGAAUUACUGGGCGUAAAGGGCGCGUAGGCGGCCUGCUAAGUCGAACGUGAAAUCCCUGGGCUCAACCCAGGAACUGCGUCCGAUACUGGUUGGCUUGAAUCCGGGAGAGGGAUGUGGAAUUCCAGGUGUAGCGGUGAAAUGCGUAGAUAUCUGGAGGAACACCGGUGGCGAAGGCGACAUCCUGGACCGGCAUUGACGCUGAGGCGCGAAAGCCAGGUGAGCAAACGGG
rnacentral:rRNA from 1 species